rnacentral:rRNA from 1 species
GAUGAACGCUGGCGGCGUGCUUAACACAUGCAAGUCGAACGAAAAGUGGAGACGGAAACCUCCGGGCGGAAGGCGGUAGUUCGAGGAGCGGACGGGGGAGUAACGCGUGGGUAAACUGCCUCAAACAGGGGGAUAAGAGUCGGAAACGACUGAUAAUAUCGCAUCAGACGACAGAACAGCAUAGUGCGGGGGUAAAAACACCGGUGGGAGGAGAUGGACCCCCGUACGAUUAGCCAGCUGGCGGGGUAACGGCCCACCAAAGCGACGAUCGAUAGCCGGUCUGAGAGGAUCGCCGGCCACACUGGCACGGGGCCACGGCCCGGACUCCUACGGGAUGCGGCAGUGGGUAAUAGUGCACAGUGGGGGAAGCCAUGAUGCAGCGACGCCGCGUGAGUGAAGUAGUAUUGCGGUAUGUAAAGCGCUAUCAGCAGUGCACAAAAUGACGGUACCUGAGUAAGAAGCCCCGGCUAACUACGUG